rnacentral:rRNA from 1 species
UACGUAGGUCCCGAGCGUUGUCCGGAUUUAUUGGGCUUAAAGCGAGCGCAGGCGGUUUAUUAAGUCUGGUGUAAAAGUCAGUGGCUCAACCAUUGUAUGCAAUGGAAACUGGUAGACUUGAGUGAAGGAGAGGUGAGUGGAAUGUGAUGUGUAGCGGUGAAAUGCGUAGAUAUAUGGAGGAACACCGAUGGCGAAAGCGGCUCUCUGGCCUGUGACUGACACUGAGGCACGAAAGCGUGGGGAGCAAACAGG